rnacentral:lncRNA from 1 species
UGGCGCGCUGCCGGGUCGUUCUGUUGUCCCGUCGGUGGAGACUUGGUCGGGGAGGCCUGCAGCGUAGCGUCGUCGGGAUGGGAAUGUGGAUCGGCAUGCUGGCGAGGAUCGGACGCGGCGGUUACGUGUGACCCGGCCGACACGUCGGAAUGCGCUGGAGAGACUGCGAGCGGCGGGCGGAUUCUGACAGAGACGAUUCGGUUGCGCCCUAUCCAUACCGGCCGUGCCGGGGGUGUUGGUAG